rnacentral:lncRNA from 1 species
GGUGGGUUUAGGGCACCCAUGGGUGCUAUGGGAAGGAGAUAGGGGUUGGGGCACCCAUGGGUGCUAUGGGUUUGGAGGUAUGGAGUUGGGGACCCAUGGGUGCUAUGGGGCAGGAGAUAAUGAUCUAGGGCACCCAUGGGUGCUGUGGGGCUGGAGGUGUGGAGUUGGGGACCCAUGGGUGCUGUGGGGCUGGAGAUAAGGUUCUGUAGCACCCAUGGGUGCUAUGGGGCAGGAGACGGGUUCAUAGCACCCACGGGUGCAAUGGGGGCAGCAGACCACGGGCGCAGGACCCCCGGGGGUGGGUGGGGGGGUGGUGGUGUGGGGGUGUCUGCGGGCGUUCCGGGGGCACCCUUGGGUGCUGCUGUCCCAUGGGUGCCCCCCCCCCGUCCCCCCAGACGACGGGCGGCUGGAGGAGCUCAAGGCCUCGCUGCCCAGCCCCGAGGAGCUGCCCGGCUUCCGCAUGUACCCCAUCGACUUCGAGAAGGUGGGUGCCCCCCCUCCCCCACCCCCCAGCACCCAUGGGUGCCCCUGCCCACCCC